rnacentral:rRNA from 1 species
CCUACGGGGGGCAGCAGUGAGGAAUAUUGGUCAAUGGACGCAAGUCUGAACCAGCCAUGCCGCGUGCAGGAAGACGGCUCUAUGAGUUGUAAACUGCUGUUGUACGAGGGUAAACGCAGAUACGCGUAUCUGUCUGAAAGUAGGGUACGAAUAAGGAUCGGCUAACUCCGUGCCAGCAGCCGCGGUAAUACGGAGGAUUCAAGCGUUAUCCGGAUUUAUUGGGGUUAAAGGGUGCGUAGGCGGUCGGAUAAGGUAGAGGUGAAAUCCCGAGGCUCAACUUCGGAAUUGCCUCUGAUACUGUUCGGCUAGUGCGUAGUUGCGGUCGGCGGAAUGUUUGUUGUAGCGG